rnacentral:rRNA from 1 species
UACGGAGGGAGCAAGCGUUACUCGGAAUUACUGGGCGUAAAGGGCGCGUAGGCGGCGACCCAAGUCAGAUGUGAAAGUCCUGGGCUUAACCUGGGGACUGCAUUUGAUACUGGGUUGCUUGAAUUCGGGAGAGGAUAGCGGAAUUCCCAGUGUAGAGGUGAAAUUCGUAGAUAUUGGGAAGAACACCGGUGGCGAAGGCGGCUAUCUGGACCGACAUUGACGCUGAGGCGCGAAAGCGUGGGGAGCAAACAGG